rnacentral:rRNA from 1 species
UACGUAGGGUGCGAGCGUUAAUCGGAAUUACUGGGCGUAAAGCGUGCGCAGGCGGUUUUGUAAGCCAGAUGUGAAAUCCCCGGGCUUAACCUGGGAAUGGCAUUUGGGACUGCAAGGCUGGAGUUUGGCAGAGGAGACUGGAAUUCCUGGUGUAGCAGUGAAAUGCGUAGAUAUCAGGAGGAAUACCGAUGGCGAAGGCAGGUCUCUGGGCUAUAACUGACGCUCAUGCACGAAAGCGUGGAGAGCAAACAGG